rnacentral:rRNA from 1 species
AGAGUUUGAUCCUGGCUCAGGAUGAACGCUGGCGGCGUGCCUAACACAUGCAAGUCGAACGAAGCGCUUUUCCCGAAUUUUCGGAGGAGGGGAGAGUGACUGAGUGGCGGACGGGUGAGUAACGCGUGGGGAACCUGCCCUGUACCGGGGGAUAACAGCCGGAAACGGCUGCUAAUACCGCAUAAGCGCACAGUGCCGCAUGGCACGGUGUGAAAAACCACGGUGGUACAGGAUGGCCCCGCGUCUGAUUAGUUGGUUGGCAGGGUAACGGCCUACCAAGACGGCGAUCAGUAGCCGGCCUGAGAGGGUGAACGGCCACACUGGGACUGAGACACGGCCCAGACUCCUGCGGGAGGCAGCAGUGGGGAAUAUUGCACAAUGGGGGAAACCCUGAUGCAGCGACGCCGCGUGAGCGAGGAAGUAUUUCGGUAUGUAAAGCUCUGUCAGCAGGGAAGAAGAAUGACGGUACCUGAAGAAGAAGCACCGGCUAAAUACGUG